rfam:Felis catus isolate Cinnamon breed Abyssinian chromosome B1, whole genome shotgun sequence.
GCCUGGGUGGCUCAGUUGGUUAAGCGUCUGACUUUGGCUCAGGUCAUGAUCUCACACAGUUUGUGAGUUCAAGCCCCGCGUCAGGCU